rnacentral:rRNA from 1 species
AUUGAACGCUGGCGGCAUGCCUUACACAUGCCAGUCGAACGGUAACGGGCCUUCGGGUGCCGACGAGUGGCGAACGGGUGAGUAAUACAUCGGAACGUGCCCGACCGUGGGGGAUAACGAGGCGAAAGCUUUGCUAAUACCGCAUACGAUCUACGGAUGAAAGCAGGGGACCGCAAGGCCUUGCGCGGACGGAGCGGCCGAUGGCAGAUUAGGUAGUUGGUGGGAUAAAAGCUUACCAAGCCGACGAUCUGUAGCUGGUCUGAGAGGAUGAUCAGCCACACUGGGACUGAGACACGGCCCAGACUCCUACGGGAGGCAGCAGUGGGGAAUUUUGGACAAUGGGCGCAAGCCUGAUCCAGCCAUGCCGCGUGCAGGAUGAAGGCCUUCGGGUUGUAAACUGCUUUUGUACGGAACGAAAAGCCUUCUUUUAAUACAGGAGGGUCAUGACGGUACCGUAAGAAUAAGCACCGGCUAACUACGUG